rnacentral:rRNA from 1 species
CGUCUAUAUACGUAUAGCAUAUCAAUAAGCGGAGGAAAAGAAACUAACAUAGGAUUCCCUCAGUAACGGCGAGUGAAGCGGGAAGAGCUCAAAUUUGAAAUCUUCAAGGUUCUACCUUGACGAAUUGUAGUUUAAAGAAGUGUUUUCUGUUGGAGUUUUGGUAAAAGUUCUUUGGAAUAGGACAUCAUAGAGGGUGAGAAUCCCGUAUUUGACCAUUAUUUCCAACUUUGUGAUACACUUUCAAGGAGUCGGAUUGUUUGGGAAUGCAGUCCAAAAUGGGUGGUAAAUUUCAUCUAAAGCUAAAUACUGGCGAGAGACCGAUAGCGAACAAGUACCGUGAGGGAAAGAUGAAAAGAACUUUGAAAAGAGAGUUAAACAGUACGUGAAAUUGUCAAAAGGGAAGCGUUUGACACCAGUGUUGUUUUCUCGAAAAUCAAUUAAAAAUGGCGGGAUUUUGUGUUGUAUUGACUUUAUCAGCUUUCUGCACUUUUUUCUUGUCUUUUUUAAUGCGCUUUUCGUUUAACAAGUCAACAUCAAUUUCUUUUGUUGUAAAAGAGUCAUUGGAAGGUGGCUUUCACUUCGGUGAAAGUGUUUAUAGCCUUUGACUUCUGCAAUCGGAGAGAUUGAGGUCUGCAGCGUAGAUCCUUCGGGGUUAGAUACAUUUGUGCUAAGUUAUAGUUUUUCAUAGACAACAUGUUGACUAUGAUUAAUCAUGUAGCUUACUCGCUUAUGCUAUUUUACCUACGCUUAGGAUGUUGAUCUGUAGUGCGUGCGC